CCCUUAGAUGUCCUGGGCUGCACGCGCGCUACACUGAUGUGUCCAGUAAGCACCUAACCUCUUCCGAAAGGAACGGGUAACCUUUGCAAAGCACAUCGUGAUGGGGAUAGAUUAUUGCAAUUAUUAGUCUUGAACGAGGAAUUCCUAGUAAGCACAAGUCAUCAGCUUGUGUUGAUUACGUCCCUGCCCUUUGUACACACCGCCCGUCGCUCCUACCGAUUGAAUGUUCCGGUGAGCUCUUCGGACUGCGCGGUCUGCAGUUUCUGCGUUCCGUGCGGAAAGUUGCGCAAACCUUAACAUUUAGAGGAAGGAGAAGUCGUAGCA
rnacentral:rRNA from 1 species